rnacentral:rRNA from 1 species
AUUGAACGCUGGCGGCAGGCCUAACACAUGCAAGUCGAGCGGAUGAAGGGAGCUUGCUCCUGGAUUCAGCGGCGGACGGGUGAGUAAUGCCUAGGAAUCUGCCUGGUAGUGGGGGAUAACGUCCGGAAACGGGCGCUAAUACCGCAUACGUCCUGAGGGAGAAAGUGGGGGAUCUUCGGACCUCACGCUAUCAGAUGAGCCUAGGUCGGAUUAGCUAGUUGGUGGGGUAAAGGCCUACCAAGGCGACGAUCCGUAACUGGUCUGAGAGGAUGAUCAGUCACACUGGAACUGAGACACGGUCCAGACUCCUACGGGAGGCAGCAGUGGGGAAUAUUGGACAAAGGGCGAAAGCCUGAUACAGCCAUGCCGCGUGUGUGAAGAAGGUCUUCGGAUUGUAAAGCACUUUAAGUUGGGAGGAAGGGCAGUAAGUUAAUACCUUGCUGUUUUGACGUUACCAACAGAAUAAGCACCGGCUAACUUCGUG